CAGUCGCCGCGGUAAGACAGAGGAUGCAAGCGUUAUCCGGAAUGAUUGGGCGUAAAGCGUGCGCAGGCGGUUUUGUAAGACAGGCGUGAAAUCCCCGGGCUCAACCUGGGAAUGGCGCUUGUGACUGCAAAGCUAGAGUGCGGCAGAGGGGGAUGGAAUUCCGCGUGUAGCAGUGAAAUGCGUAGAUAUGCGGAGGAACACCGAUGGCGAAGGCAAUCCCCUGGGCCUGCACUGACGCUCAUGCACGAAAGCGUGGGGAGCAAACAGGAUUAGAUACCCCCGUAGUCCCUGUCUCUUAUAC
rnacentral:rRNA from 1 species